rnacentral:rRNA from 1 species
CAGGGAUUGCCUCAGUAACGGCGAGUGAAGCGGCAACAGCUCAAAUUUUAAAGCUGGCGUCCUCGACGCCCGCGUUGUAAUUUGGAGAGGCAUCUUCGGUUUGGGCGCCAGCCUAUGUUCCUUGGAACAGGACGUCACAGAGGGUGAGAAUCCCGUGCUUGGCUGGCUGUCCCUCUCCAUGUGAAGUGUCUUCGACGAGUCGAGUUGUUUGGGAAUGCAGCUCAAAAUGGGUGGUAAAUUUCAUCUAAAGCUAAAUAUUGGCGGGAGACCGAUAGCGCACAAGUAGAGUGAUCGAAAGAUGAAAAGCACUUUGAAAAUAGAGUUAAAAAGUACGUGAAAUUGUUGAAAGGGAAGCGCUUGAGACCAGACUCGGCCGGAGACGAUCAGCGGUCCUUUUGGGCCGUGCACUCGUCCUCGGUUGGGCCAGCAUCGGUUGAGACGGUGGGAUAAAGGUCCGGGGAAUGUGGCUCCUUUCGGGGAGUGUUAUAGCCCCGGGCGCAAUGCCGCCAGCCUCGACCGAGGACCGCGCUCUUUUGCUAGGAUGCUGGCGUAAUGGUCUUCAGCGACCCGUCUUGAAACACGGACCAAGGAGUCUAACAUCUAUGCGAGUGUUUGGGUGUCAAACCCUUGCGCGUAAUGAAAGUGAACGUGGGUGGGAACCUCUCGUAAGGGGGGCGCACCAUCGACCGAUCCUGAUGUCUUCGGAUGGAUUUGAGUAGGAGCAUAGCUGUUGGGACCCGAAAGAUGGUGAACUAUGCCUGAAUAGGGUGAAGCCAGAGGAAACUCUGGUGGAGGCUCGCAGCGGUUCUGACGUGCAAAUCGAUCGUCAAAUUUGGGUAUAGGGGCGAAAGACUAAUCGAACC